AUUGAACGCUGGCGGCAGGCUUAACACAUGCAAGUCGAGCGAGCGGCGGACGGGUGAGUAAUGUCUGGGAAACUGCCUGGUGGAGGGGGAUAACUACUGGAAACGGUAGCUAAUACCGCAUACCAUCAGAUGUGCCAAGAUGGGAUUAGCUAGUAGGUGGGGUAAUGGCUCACCUAGGCGACGAUCCCUAGCUGGGAUGAGAGGAUGACCAGUCCCACUGGAACUCAGACACGGUCCAGACUCCUACGGUAGGCAGCAGUGGGGAAUAUUGCACAAUGGGCGCAAGCCUUAUGCAGCCAUUCCGCUGGUGUGAAGAAGGCCUUCGGGUUGUAAAGCACUUUCAGCGAGGAGGCUUUACUCGCAGAAGAAGCACCGGCUAACUCCGUGCCAGCAGCCGCGGUAAUUC
rnacentral:rRNA from 1 species